rnacentral:rRNA from 1 species
UGCAGUCGAGCGAAUGGAUUAAGAGCUUGCUCUUAUGAAGUUAGCGGCGGACGGGUGAGUAACACGUGGGUAACCUGCCCAUAAGACUGGGAUAACUCCGGGAAACCGGGGCUAAUACCGGAUAACAUUUUGAACCGCAUGGUUCGAAAUUGAAAGGCGGCUUCGGCUGUCACUUAUGGAUGGACCCGCGUCGCAUUAGCUAGUUGGUGAGGUAACGGCUCACCAAGGCAACGAUGCGUAGCCGACCUGAGAGGGUGAUCGGCCACACUGGGACUGAGACACGGCCCAGACUCCUACGGGAGGCAGCAGUAGGGAAUCUUCCGCAAUGGACGAAAGUCUGACGGAGCAACGCCGCGUGAGUGAUGAAGGCUUUCGGGUCGUAAAACUCUGUUGUUAGGGAAGAACAAGUGCUAGUUGAAUAAGCUGGCACCUUGACGGUACCUAACCAGAAAGCCACGGCUAACUACGUGCCAGCAGCCGCGGUAAUACGUAGGUGGCAAGCGUUAUCCGGAAUUAUUGGGCGUAAAGCGCGCGCAGGUGGUUUCUUAAGUCUGAUGUGAAAGCCCACGGCUCAACCGUGGAGGGUCAUUGGAAACUGGGAGACUUGAGUGCAGAAGAGGAAAGUGGAAUUCCAUGUGUAGCGGUGAAAUGCGUAGAGAUAUGGAGGAACACCAGUGGCGAAGGCGAC